rnacentral:rRNA from 1 species
UACGUAGGGGGCAAGCGUUGUCCGGAAUCAUUGGGCGUAAAGAGCGCGUAGGCGGUCCGAUAAGUCGGUUGUGAAAACUGGGGGCUCAACCCUCAGAGGCCGACCGAUACUGUCGGGCUAGAGUCCGGAAGAGGCGAGUGGAAUUCCUGGUGUAGCGGUGAAAUGCGCAGAUAUUGCUCGGAAGGCCAGAGCCGAAGGGGCCCUACUGGUACGUAACUGACACUGAGGCACGAAAGCGUGGGGAGCAAACAGG